rnacentral:rRNA from 1 species
AUGCACGCUGGCGGCGUGCCUAAUACCUGCAAGUCGAGCGAACAGACGAGGAGCUUGCUCCUCUGACGUUAGCGGCGGACGGGUGAGUAGCACGUGGAUAACCUACCUAUAAGACUGGGAUAACUUCGGGAAACCGGAGCUAAUACCGGAUAAUAUAUUGAACCGCAUGGUUCAAUAGUGAAAGACGGUUUUGCUGUCACUUAUAGAUGGAUCCGCGCCGCAUUAGCUAGUUGGUAAGGUAACGGCUUACCAAGGCAACGAUGCGUAGCCGACCUGAGAGGGUGAUCGGCCACACUGGAACUGAGACACGGUCCAGACUCCUACGGGAGGCAGCAGUAGGGAAUCUUCCGCAAUGGGCGAAAGCCUGACGGAGCAACGCCGCGUGAGUGAUGAAGGUCUUCGGAUCGUAAAACUCUGUUAUUAGGGAAGAACAAAUGUGUAAGUAACUAUGCACGUCUUGACGGUACCUAAUCAGAAAGCCACGGCGAACUACGU